rnacentral:rRNA from 1 species
AUGGCUGGUGUUCUAACGUGGACCCGUAAUCCGGGUUGCGGACAGUGUCUGGUGGGUAGUUUGACUGGGGCGGUCUCCUCCUAAAGAGUAACGGAGGAGCACGAAGGUUGGCUAAUCCUGGUCGGACAUCAGGAGGUUAGUGCAAUGGCAUAAGCCAGCUUGACUGCGAGCGUGACGGCGCGAGCAGGUGCGAAAGCAGGUCAUAGUGAUCCGGUGGUUCUGAAUGGAAGGGCCAUCGCUCAACGGAUAAAAGGUACUCCGGGGAUAACAGGCUGAUACCGCCCAAGAGUUCAUAUCGACGGCGGUGUUUGGCACCUCGAUGUCGGCUCAUCACAUCCUGGGGCUGAAGUAGGUCCCAAGGGUAUGGCUGUUCGCCAUUUAAAGUGGUACGCGAGCUGGGUUUAGAACGUCGUGAGACAGUUCGGUCCCUAUCUGCCGUGGGCGCUGGAAGAUUGAGGGGGGCUGCUCCUAGUACGAGAGGACCGGAGUGGACGCAUCACUGGUGUUCGGGUUGUCAUGCCAAUGGCACUGCCCGGUAGCUACAUGCGGAAGAGAUAAGUGCUGAAAGCAUCUAAGCACGAAACUUGCCCCGAGAUGAAUCUUCCCUGAGCCUUUAAGGCUCCUGAAGGAACGUUGAAGACGACGACGUUGAUAGGCCGGGUGUGUAAGCGCAGCGAUGCGUUGAGCUAACCGGUACUAAUGAACCGUGAGGCUUAACCUUACAAC